CACAGGUUCUCACCCUGGGACGAAUGAAGUCUCUCCAUCUCCGGUGAAAGGCUCUCAUCUCGCUGUCCACUCUUCUCUGAAUCAUGUAAUACUGGUCCUGUCUCUCCCAUCCCUCUGAAUGUCACUCAGACACAUAUUUGAUUGCUGAGUAGCCGCACGUGAUGCAAUUUGCAACUCAUUCUAUUGGUCGAUGUGGUUCUUGAGCUGCUGAACGAGUACAGUAAGGCAGCAGCAGCUGAAGGUAGGAUUAUAUUGUGAUGUAAUGUUGCAUAGAGAUCAUGUUAUAAACAAUUGUUGUCUAAACUGAUAUCAACAUGUAUACAACUCCAACACCUCUUGGAUAUGUCUUACUUAGCCAGUGGCAUUGAACUAGUGGUUAACUGGACUCCAUCUGGUAACUUUUCACUUGCCUCUGUAAACUUUUAAGUUUCAUUACCCAGAAUGCAACAGUCCCUGGAUUCCUGAAUACAAAGACUUUUUUGCUGCAGCGUUUGUGUUUCAGCUUCAGUCAAAAAUGUUAAUACAUGUCAUUACCAUAAACCUUUCAUUAUUCUCAAAAAAGUAGUUGCUGUUACUAUAAAGCCUGGUGUUAGCUGAUGACGUUGUCGUGUGUGUGUGUGUGUGUGUGUGUGUGUGUGUGUGUGUGUGUGUGUGUGUGUGUGUGUGUGUGUGUGUGUGUGUGUGUGUGUGUGUGUGUGUGUGUGUGUGUGUGCGUGCGAGUGUGUGUGUGUGUGUGUGUGUGUGUGCGCGCACGCAUGCUCGGGUACGUAGUGUAUGAGAAAACGUAGCCAUGUAUAAAAUUGCCUUUGCUGGCUGGUUGCUCAUAUUCACUCAACCAGUCAUGUAGCUCCACAGAGAAACCAUCGUUAAAAUCACCUUGAAUGGUGAUUCUCUCUCUCUCUCUCUCUCUCUCUCUCUCUCUCGCUCUCUCUCUCUCUCUCUCUCUCUCUCUCUCUCUCUCUCUCUCUCUCUCUCUCUCUCUCUCCCCCUCCAGUUCCAAAGGGUGAGCUCUAUUUUAGCAGCCAGCCAUACGAGUGUGCCCGAAUUCAAAUUGAAACCUGCCCAUUUAUGAAUCAAAUUGGUUCCGCAUAUACAUUUUCCAUAGCACAUUGCCCCGCAUCAGAAUGUGUUUAGAUAAGUCUGCCUGUGUGUUUUUGUGUGUGUGUGGGUGUUUUUAUUGGAGGACUUUACUUAUAGUGUGUGUGUGUGAGCGCGUGCAUUUAUAAAUCAUGCCAUUAUUACCUUCAUCAACUUUGUUUACAGUACACUUGACUUAUGAAGCAUAUACAUGCAUGUAUUACUUUACCCCAGUAUGACAUUGUUUAUCCACAAAAUAGUGAUAAUACAUACGUGGCUUGUCAUCGUUCCCUCAGUGGACAAUAUAUUAGUUUCACAAAGCUGCACUGACCCCUAAUUGGACUUAAGUUGAAAUUCUCCCCAAUUAGUUUCUAAACUUCAAGUGGCAACCUCAAAGGUUUUUUUUUGAUGAAUCACGCCGUAUUUAAUUAUAGUCUUUCUUACAAACUUAUGUUUACUCUUUUUUCUAUAAUGUAAAAUGUCCAACAAACUGUUUUACAUAGAAGAAAUGACCUUUAGAAUGUUACACACAGCAGUGGACAUUAACCUCCCAAUCCCAAAUAUUUCCACCAUUGAUUACUUUCCUCGGUACUUUCAAUGUUGUCUGACUUGACGGAUUUUGACAGUCAGACAGCAGCUUCCACUCGCCGUGAUCGUUUUACUUCCUCUCCAUAACAAAGCUGGUAGCCGAGUGGAGUCGGUUUAGGUUCCCCUCUCAUAUACAUUCAGCUUCUUUCAAUUGCAAAUGAAGAACUGGGUGAGUGCACCAGCUUUGGGACCUUUUCCAUGUGGACUUCAGAGUUUAAAAAAGGGGAAUUACUUUGACAUACUGGCAGGCAUAUUGGUUUGAUUAAACUUGUUUGUGAAACGCUUUUAUAAAUGAGGCCGCGGGGCAGGAAAAGCAUAAUCAAAGGGGCCAUGAGUGAUUAGUCACACAAUAGACUCUAACUUAAGCACAUCCAAUAUUCAGCCGUAACAAUAAACACAUCUGGAACACCGCAUAAUAAAAAUAAUUCCUCAAGGCCAAUUACAGUAACUGUAUUGAGUUUUAUGAGCCCAGGAUGUUAUGUUAGUGUCCUGAUUUUGAAUGUGGAGUUUUGCUUUUUUUCUGAACAAAUCAACUAACUUUCAGAAAAAUAUUAGAACAGCAUGUCACAUGUAACGCUGCAGGAAAUUAAGACUUCACGUCUGUCAAUCAUCUCUUUUCUAUACUCUAAAUAUUCCCCACUUUGCACAUGUUUUUCAACCUCGUCAGUUCCUCCGAAAGAGAGAACACAGACAGAAUAUUGAGGAAUUAAGUGGAGAUUAUUAGUAUUUUCAAGGCUUAAGAGAAAAACGAAAAAAGGAAGGAAGGGAGCUAAAAGAGAGUCGUAUGCUCCCUCGCUCCUCAUCUCUCCUGAGCAGGAAGAGACGGCGAGGGGAAAAAACCGAGUGGACGUGGUGGGAUGGAAAAUGUGAGGAGCGGAGGCCGUGGCCGAGCGGGCGCUUUUCACCAGUACAACUGUCCUAUUGUCUGACUCGCGAUCGGAGACCGAGCGCACGAGAAACACAGACGUGCAGUUGUGUUGUUGUCACAACUGUCAUCAAACGCUGAGUAAACGGUUUGUCCAAACCAUGAUCACACACAGAGAGAGAG
ensembl:lncRNA